rnacentral:lncRNA from 1 species
CUCAACAAUAGCUGAACCUACUUCACAAAAUGUUCAGUCAAUGGUUCAGAUGCCACCACCAUCUCAAGGGAAUUUGCAUCCUACCCCACAAAGUGUCCAGUCAGGAAUUCAGAUGCCACCUCCAUUUCAAGGGAAUUUGCCUCCUACCUCACAAAAUGUUCAGCCAGGCAUUCAGAUGCCACCACCAUUUCAAGGGAAUUUGCCUCCUACCUCACAAAAUGUGCAAACAGGAAUUCGGAUGCCACCACCAUAUCAAGGGAAUUCACCCCCUACCUCCCAAAAUGUUCAAUCAGGGAUUCAGAUGCCACCUCCAUUUCAAGGCAAUUUGCCUCCUACCUCACAAAAUGUUCAGUCCGGAAUUCAGAUGACACCACCAUUUCAAGGGAAUCCAUUUCAACCUCCACCCAGCUUACCUACAUGGAACUCGU